rnacentral:lncRNA from 1 species
GUCGAAUUGAAGCUUAAUACCUACCAAAAAAUCUCAAUGAGCGAAAAGACUUUCAUUUUAGUCAUCUCUGGUGUAUUUAUGAUGGCUUGGUUUGAAGCGAGAACAGACGAACUAUGCUUACUAGUGUUGCAUAAAAAAAACAUGAGGAUAUGGUUUGUCCUUUAUGAAUCUAUAUUGCAAAUUUGACUCAUAUAAGGAUAAUGUUUGUCUCAUAGAAAAAUCGGUAGUUUUAACCGAUAAUUUAUUUUUCGAUUUUUAUCGGAUAUAGUAGUUAUUUGGAAAAAUACAAACCGUAUAAUUAAUUAUUAAAGUUUCGUAUGCAUCAUAAAUCAACCGGCUCCGGCAACUUUUGACUUGUUCUAAUAUCAAUAGUAAUGAUUUUCAGCGGAGAAAAAGAUAGAUAUUUUGGUCGUGGUUGAAAGAAUCGUAAAAGUGUUAUUUUUCUAAAUUCUGUUUGUUUAAUCGGACAAAGUAGAGUUUUAAUUUGAUUUUUUUUUGCCGAACUGGACUCUAUAUUGUGUAUUGAAUUGAAAGUUUGCAAACGUUCCGACCAAUGAAAUUCAUUUUAAU